AGUUACAAAAUUGUGAGCUCUAGGGUAAACAUUUUUCUGACAAUAACUGGAUUGUACCUUGAUGAAAUGGGUACUUGCCAUUGCAGAAGUGUUCCUUGUGUUAGGCAUGAUGGUACUUGUAUAUGAUCUGUUGGAUUAUGUGAUUAUGGCACAACAAUGUAUUAUAUGGGUCCGAAACUGUGAAUAUGAUUACUAUCAACUCUGUGUUGCAAUGACUUAGGAAGGAGUGAUAUUUUAUGUUGAGGGUGAAUGACAAGAGGCAAAGUUAAAAUAAGGUUUGCCAAUGGUUUAUUUGUUUGUCAACCAAUGGGACUCGAUUUGAUAGUUUUUGUUGUUUGUAAAGAGGACAGCAUGCUAUGUGUUGUAGAGGUCAUGUGGUGGGAUUUUGUGUUCAAGUUCCUCCACUAAUUAUAAAAAAAUGGAGAAAACAAAAGAAUAGGAACCAGCUUGGAUUUCCUAAAUACUGGCUUGAUGAGUAACUUUUGGAAUCCUAUUGAAGUUAAGGCUUAUGGUUCGCUAUCUGUACUGAUAUGCCUGCAGGCCUUGUUAGAAAACUAGAACGUAUUUCAACAGACUUGUUGUCCUCUCAAAGUGCUGAUGUUUUCACCGUAUUUUGAAGAAUCAGUUUUGUGGACAACAGAAUCCAAGAUGUUUUGAAAUACAGCUUAUUGUCAUCAACAUAAUUGUUGACUUUGUGUUCAAAAUAUUUUGGCCGUCUUUUUCUUGUAGUAUGAGGACAGCCAUUUACUUAAUAUGCUUAUAACCUAUAAAUUUUGUGGUUGG
rnacentral:misc_RNA from 1 species